UGCAAAACACUUACCUGAUGAUAUACCAGAAAACAAGGAGAGCAGGAGAAUAAGAAGAGUGGCGAACUCUGUAAAUGUGGUUUGUGAUCACGACUUCACAUGGAUUAGAUUGAUACUGGAAGAGAUUGGGGGUGCAACUGAUGGAUUGCCCUAUCUAUUUGCAACAUUUAUGACAUCUAAUAUCUGGUAUGCAACUGCUUUCAACGUUGAAACUGGAGGCUUCAGUAACAACGUUCAUUGUUUAGCCAGGUGUGUAUGUGCAGUGAUCGCGGGAAGUGAACUCUUAAGACUCGAAAGAGAGUUUCGACAGAAACACUCUUUCAAAUGGACACAUUAGUGAAUCCUUAGACCCUGAGGCACGAAACUACUCUUCCAUAGAGGUGAACAUAAAGUCCACAACGCAGCUUUACAUCAAGUUCUCAGCAGGAAUAAUUCUGGAUUCUUGGAGUGAAAGCAAUAGGUCUUACCUCGUGGCGGUGCUGAUCAAAUCUGUGAGAUCUCACGACACACUCCACGGAGCUUGUUGGAGUCUUACACCAUUCUUUGCUCCAUCUACAGCCAAUACUACUCGAAUUCUUCCACUCCCUUUGCAUUAAUAAGUGGGUUCUUCUCCGGCCAUGUCCCUGGCCCAUGGUUCCCUGUCAACUCCACAAUCAAAUGCAAACGAGCCGGGCUAUCCCAAAGCGUCAUCCACCCACAGCCAAGAUCAGUAGGACAUGGACAAUUUCAGUGUAAGAAGCAUUGAUAGCAUCAGCUAGCACUGGUCCUAGUCCCCUGCCCAGAUUUGUUGCGUCGAGAUCUGGUCCUAUAUCGUAUAAAUGAAAAUCGUGAAGCAAUUUGUAUAUUUGUUACGACUUUGAUAUUCCUAGUGCAACUUGUUUUCGUCUGGUAAUAACAUUGCCCAUCUCGAUUGUGAU